AGUGCUGGCUAUUUUAACUAGGUUGGGGCCAUAGAUUUUAUGUGCGCAUAUGCAAAUAUUUUAGGCACAUUUUAAAGCAAGAUACAGUUGUGUUUUUCUGUUUGAAAAUGUCUAACUUGAUUUUGAUUAGUUUCUUUAAUAAAAUUUUUAGACUUUUCAAAUACAGCUGUUCUUACACCUGGCUGGGUUUGCCUUAGCUCUGCGCAGUAACCGACCUCGCUACAACUCUGAUUUCCCCAAGCAACUCUUACCUGACUGUAUUCAGUUCAUUUCAGUUUAUUUAUACAGUGCCGUAUCACAAUGUGUCAUUUAAAGCACCAAACAUAAGCAAAGUUGAACCCUUACCUACCCCAUGAGCAAGCGCAUUUUUGGAUUAUAGGAAGAAACCUCAAGCAGACCAGACUCAGUGGGCUGACCAUCUGUUAUGGCCAUACUAAUACAACAAAA